UUCGCAAUGCCCGAAAGGGUGACGAAGCGACGCCGCGUGUGGGAAGAAGGCCUUCGGGUUGUAAACCACUGUCGGGAGUUAAGAAAUACAAGGAUAUUAAUAGUGUCUUUGUUUGACUAAGGCUCCGGAGGAAGCCACGGCUAACUCUGUGCCAGCAGCCGCGGUAAUACAGAGGCGGCAAGCGUUGUUCGGAAUUAUUGGGCGUAAAGAGCACGUAGGCGGCUAUGUAAGUCGGUUGUGAAAGCCUUCCGCUCAACGGAAGAACAGCAUCCGAUACUACAUGGCUUGAGUGCGGGAGGGGAGAGUGGAACUUCUGGUGGAGCGGUGAAAUGCGUAGAUAUCAGAAGGAACGCCGGCGGCGAAAGCGGCUCUCUGGCCCAUAACUGACGCUGAGUGCGCGAAAGCUAGGGGAGCAAACGGGAUUAGAUACCCCGGUAGUCCUAGCCCUAAACGAUGGGCACUAAGUAGAGGGGUUUU
rnacentral:rRNA from 1 species